CGAAGGUCCCAAGCGUUAUCCGGAUUUAUUGGGUUUAAAGGGUGCGUAGGCGGGCUAUUAAGUCAGUGGUGAAAGCCCCAAGCUUAACUUGGGAACUGCCAUUGAUACUGAUGGUCUUGAGUACAUUUGAGGUGGGCGGAAUGUGUCAUGUAGCGGUGAAAUGCUUAGAUAUGACACAGAACACCGAUUGCGAAGGCAGCUCACUAAACUGUAACUGACGCUGAGGCACGAAAGCGUGGGGAGCAAACAGGAUUAGAUACCCUGGUAGUCCACGCCCCAAACGAUGAUCACUCGAUGUGUGCGAUAUACUGUACGCGUCUGAGCGAAAGCAUUAAGUGAUCCACCUGGGGAGUACGACCGCAAGGUUG
rnacentral:rRNA from 1 species